rnacentral:ribozyme from 18 species
AAAAAAAAAAAAAAAAAAAAAAAAAAAAAAAACAGCAGCAGCAGCAGCAGCAGCAGCAACACCAUUGAAGCAUACAAUCUUCGAAUCAUUAUUAUUAUUUUUGCGAUACCUCUUCUCGCUAUUUUUGUCGACAAGAUCAACAACAAGGAGAAGGA